AACGGGUGAGUAACACGUGGGCAAUCUGCCCUUCACUCUGGGACAAGCCCUGGAAACGGGGUCUAAUACCGGAUAACACUCUGUCCCUCAUGGGGCGGAGUUAAAAGCUCCGGCGGUGAAGGAUGAGCCCGCGGCCUAUCAGCUUGUUGGUGGGGUAAUGGCCUACCAAGGCGACGACGGGUAGCCGGCCUGAGAGGGCGACCGGCCACACUGGGACUGAGACACGGCCCAGACUCCUACGGGAGGCAGCAGUGGGGAAUAUUGCACAAUGGGCGAAAGCCUGAUGCAGCGACGCCGCGUGAGGGAUGACGGCCUUCGGGUUGUAAACCUCUUUCAGCAGGGAAGAAGCGAAAGUGACGGUACCUGCAGAAGAAGCGCCGGCUAACUACGUGCCAGCAGCCGCGGUAAUACGUAGGGCGCAAGCGUUGUCCGGAAUUAUUGGGCGUAAAGAGCUCGUAGGCGGCUUGUCACGUCGGAUGUGAAAGCUCGGGGCUUAACCCCGAGUCUGCAUUCGAUACGGGCUAGCUAGAGUGUGGUAGGGGAGAUCGGAAUUCCUGGUGUAGCGGUGAAAUGCGCAGAUAUCAGGAGGAACACCGGUGGCGAAGGCGGAUCUCUGGGCCAUUACUGACGCUGAGGAGCGAAAGCGUGGGGAGCGAACAGGAUUAGAUACCCUGGUAGUCCACGCCGUAAACGGUGGGAACUAGGUGUUGGCGACAUUCCACGUCGUCGGUGCCGCAGCUAACGCAUUAAGUUCCCCGCCUGGGGAGUACGGCCGCAAGGCUAAAACUCAAAGGAAAUUGACGGGGGCCCGCACAAGCAGCGGAGCAUGUGGCUUAAUUCGACGCAACGCGAAGAACCUUACCAAGGCUUGACAUACACCGGAAAGCAUUAGAGAUAGUGCCCCCCUUGUGGUCGGUGUACAGGUGGUGCAUGGCUGUCGUCAGCUCGUGUCGUGAGAUGUUGGGUUAAGUCCCGCAACGAGCGCAACCCUUGUUCUGUGUUGCCAGCAUGCCCUUCGGGGUGAUGGGGACUCACAGGAGACUGCCGGGGUCAACUCGGAGGAAGGUGGGGACGACGUCAAGUCAUCAUGCCCCUUAUGUCUUGGGCUGCACACGUGCUACAAUGGCCGGUACAAAGAGCUGCGAAACCGUGAGGUGGAGCGAAUCUCAAAAAGCCGGUCUCAGUUCGGAUUGGGGUCUGCAACUCGACCCCAUGAAGUCGGAGUUGCUAGUAAUCGCAGAUCAGCAUUGCUGCGGUGAAUACGUUCCCGGGCCUUGUACACACCGCCCGUCACGUCACGAAAGUCGGUAACACCCGAAGCCGGUGGCCCA
rnacentral:rRNA from 1 species